ACCGUAGGGUACAAGCGUUAUCCGGAUUUACUCGGCGUAAAGCGCCCACAGGCGGUAAGGUAAGUUGGCCGUGGAAGCUCCUGGCUUAACCGGGAGAGGUCGGUCAAAACUGCCGUACUUGUGGCCGAGAGAGGAGAGCGGAAUUCCCGGUGUAGUGGUGGAAUGCGUAGAUAUCGGGAGGAACACCAGUGGCGCAGGCGGCUCUCUGGCUCUGAACUGACGCUGAGGGGCGAAAGCGUGGGGAGCGAACGGG
rnacentral:rRNA from 1 species